CUGUGUGUUUAUCCGGCUGAGGACCGAAGACUCGGAAAGUCAUCGAAAUCCAGUGGCAGGACAAAAGUCAAGAUAGAUGGUGAAGGCCCCGGAUGAGAGCUGACGGCUGAUUUCAGAGACGCUGUUGCCAUGAUGGGUCCAGGUGCUAGAACCACAAUCCAUCACUUACUGGGAAGCACACGAGACUCACCCGAAGAAGCAGCUCAGUCUGGCACCUGAGACCCAGGAUUCAACUUCAACCUUUGCAUGAUGCUGGAGUAAAUCGAUCCCAGGCCUGCAGCAAGAGACAGCUUAUUUUAAUCAAAUAUCCUUGUGGCCUCAGCCUUGCACAGAUUCAGAUCUCCUUUUCAUACAGCAAAGCUAUUAAUUGUAAAAGGGGCAAAGUAAAAAAAGUGGAAUUAAUAGUCAGAAUCACAGAAUUUUUGAGUUGGAGGUAACCUCAGAACCAAGUAGUCCGACCCAAACCGGAAGGGAAUCCUCACUAAAGCAAGCCAGUCAAAAGGUCAUCCAUGAAGCCUCUGAUUGAAAACCUCCAAUGAGGGCAACUCUGCCUCCAGAGACAGCUCAUCCUACUUUGAAACCAGAAGUUUUCUCUGACAUCAAACCUGCACGUGCCUCCUUCCAACUUUGAUUCACUGCUCCUAGUUCUGUUCUCUGGGGCCAAACAGAACAAAGUGAAUCCUUCUUACACGACAGCCCUUCAGAAUUUGAAGAUAGUUAACGUGUCCCCACCCCCACCCCAUCUCCUCCAAGUUUUCUCUUCUCCAGGUUAGACAUCACCAGCUCCUUCAAUUGUGCUCAUAUAAUAGUAACGGCUAACACUUAUAUAGUCCUUACUAUGUGCCAGGAUGCUAAACACUUUAUAAUUAUUAUUUCAUUUGAUCCUUACAACAACCUUAAUAGGGAGGUGCCAUUAUGAUUCCUGCUUUACAGAUGAGGAAACUGAGGCAAACAAAAGUUAAAUGACUUGACCAGGGUCUUAUAGCUGGUAAAUGUCUGGAUUGGAACUCCAGUCUUCCUGCCUCCAGGCACAGUGCUCUAUCCACUAGGACUCAGAGCCAUUAUUCAUCCUAAUUGCCCUCCUCUGGACAGUCUCCAGCUUAUCAAUGUACUUCUUAAACCCUGAUGACCAGAACUGAAUACAAUACCCCAGAUGAGGUUUAAUGAGGACAGAGGACAAUUGAAUUAUCACCUCCGUAUUCCUGGAAGCUAUGACUCUCUUAAUGUAGCACAAGAUCACAUGUCACUCUAUUGGAUUACACUGAACCUGCAGUUUCCUGACUAGCCCUGUGCAGCCCUCCCCCCCCACAUCUUUUUCAGCUAGUCCAACCCAGUUUUAAAUAAACUGCUAUAGAGUGAUCCUUUACUCAUCCUGUAGGAUUACAAAUUUAGAGCUAAAAGGGAUCAUGAAAUCAAACUUCCUCAUUUUACUCAUGGAUGAGGAAA